GAUUAAGUGUUAAAGGUUGUGGGAUGACUUAUACAACUAGGAGGUUGGCUUAGAAGCAGCCAUCCUUUAAAGAAAGCGUAAUAGCUCACUGGUCAAGUUAUCCUGCGCUAAAAAUUUAACGGGGCUCAAAUCUAGCACCGAAGAUGCGGGCUUUGUCGCAAGACAGAGCGGUAGAAGAACAUUCCAUAAGCAGCGAAGCCGUAUCCGUGAGGGGCGGUGGAGUUUAUGGAAGCGAGAAUGUUGGCAUGAGUAGCAGAAAGUUUGGUGAGAAUCCAAACCACCGUAAACCUAAGGUUUCCUGGGCAAUGAUUGUCAUCCCAGGGUUAGACGAUCCUAAGGCGAGGCCGAGAGGCGUAGUCGACGGAAGAGCAGGUUAAUAUUCCUGCGCUAUUGUUAGUUUCCAAUGGGUAUACGUGGCUGGUGAUUUUAGACGAGAUUCGGUUAUGCUCGUCCCUAGUAUUCGUACCGUAAACCGACACAGGUAGGUGAGGAGAGUAUCCUCAGGUGGACGAGAUAACCCUUGUUCAGGAACUCGGCAAUUAAGCGGCCGUAACUUCGGGAUAAGGCCUGCCCCAUUUCGGUGGGGCUGCAACAAAAGACAUCAUGCGACUGUUUACCUAAAACACAGGUCUCUGCUAAGCCGUAAGGCGAUGUAUAGGGGCUGACGCCUGGCCAGUGUCCGAACGUUAAAGUGAGGGGUGUAAGCUCUGAACUGAAGCGCGGAUGAACGCCGGCCGUAACUAUAACGGUCCUAAGGUAGCGAAAUUCCUUGUCGGGUGAGUUCCGACCUGCACGAAUGGCGUAACGAUAUGAUGACUGUCUUAACAAGGGGCUCGGCGAAAUUGCAAGACCGGUGAAGAUGCCGGUUACCCGCAGCUGGACGAAAAGACCCCGUGAAGCUUUACUAUAGCUUGAUAUUGGAUUAGGGAUACACAUGUUCAGGAUAGGUGGGAGUUUCCGCGCAAGCGGAAGCGUCAGUGAGAUACCACCCUUGUGUAUUUUUAAUUCUAAUCCUUUCCCGUUAUCCGGGGAGGAGACAGUAUCUGGUGGGUAGUUUAACUGGGGCGGUUGCCUCCUAAAAUGUAACGGAGGCGUUUACAAAGGUUGGCUUGUCCCGGAUGGAAAUCGGGAUGAAAGUGCAAACGCAUAAGCCAGCUUUACUGCGAUUCCAACAAGAAGAGCAGUUGCGAAAGCAGAAGUUAGUGAUCCGACCGUGCGAAAUAGGACGGCGGAAGCUCAACGGAUAAAAGCUACUCCGGGGAUAACAGGCUAGUCUGGUCCAAGAGUCCAUAUCGACGACCAGGUUCGGCACCUCGAUGUCGACUCAUCCCAUCCUGGGGCUGGAGAAGGUCCCAAGGGUUUGGCUGUUCGCCAAUUAAAGGGGUACGUGAGUUGGGUUCAGAACGUCGUGAGACAGUUCGGUCUCCUAUCCGCUGUGGGCGCGGAAAACUGAGAAGUCUCUUCCCUAGUACGAGAGGACCGGGAAGGACGAACCUCUGGUGUACCAGUUGUUCUACCAAGAGCAUCGCUGGGUAGCUAGGUUCGGUUAGGAUAAACGCUGAAAGUGUAAGUGCAGCAAUGCAUUGAGCCGAGCUAUACUAAUUGGUCGAUUUGUGUAACCACUAUAAUGCUAAUAUUGCAUGACUUCGUUAC
rfam:Parcubacteria bacterium GW2011_GWA2_40_23 TT91_C0018, whole genome shotgun sequence.